AUGCCCUCCAUCCUUGUUGAAAACGCACUUCACUUCAUGCUUACACACGAUGAUGAUGAUCGUAUAGAAAUUCUCAAAUAUGACUUGAGCUCUAAUUGCUUAUCACUAAUUGAUGCACCAUUGUCCGGGGCUAUCGUUAGCGGUUCCACUAUCCUCAUGGCAUUGGAGGAUGGCAGUUUGGGUUUUGCGCAUGUGGACAAGGUAACCCUCAACAUAUGGUCAAGAAAAUUGGAUGUUAAUGGAAUUGUGUCAUGGACUAUGCAUAGAGUCGUCGAACUCAUGAACCUUAUCCCUAUUCAAAAUCCAACCAAAAGGCUUAAACUGAUUGGAUCUGUGGAGGGCAGUGAUAUCAUUUUCAUAACUGCGGACCUUGGCAUCUAUGAGGUUAAUAUCAGGACACUACAAUGGAAGAAGCUAUGGAAGAGAGAGAAAUUCCGUUAUUUGGUUCCAUACAUGAGUUUCUACAAUCCACCAGAAUGGCUGAGACCUUGUGAUGUGGCGCAUUGA
rnacentral:rRNA from 1 species